UGUAGCCUAAAUUUCUGUCUUGGUUUUUGUGCCUUGUCUUCUGCUGUGUUCUUAGAUUAAAGACUGUAAAACUGAGGAGGCAUGGAAAAAUCUUCAGGACAGUUUGGGUGACUGGAUUGCAGAUUGUGGUGUGCCAGGGGUUUAUGAAGCCAAAGUCCAUGACGUUCCUCAGAUACUUUCCCAAGUUGUGAAGCAUUUCAUCUUUCACAGAACUGCAAACAUGAUUGAGCAGUUUAAACAAGGGAUGAACUCUUGUGGCAAACUUUGGGAAACUGGAGAGGUACUGGAAUGCAUUUCAGUGCCUGUUUACACACACAGAGGGACGACUGACAAGAGCUGCCUUCCGCUGUCUUUUCAAUGUCGUUUGGAGUGACGAAGGGACAAACAACAAGGAAGCUGAAGAGGACACUAUGUUUGCAUGGGAAUGUCUUCUCAACAGUGUGCAAGAAAAAGAAACUCCUUUCACCUUUGAGGACCUACUAGUGUUUGUUAC